rnacentral:tRNA from 1 species
GGACGUGUAGCUUAGUGGCCUAAAGCAGUCGCCUGUGGAGCGAUGACCGUCGGUUCGAAUCCGAUCACGUCCA